rnacentral:rRNA from 1 species
UACGAAGGUGGCAAGCGUUGUUCGGAUUUACUGGGCGUAAAGAGUGCGUAGGCGGUUUAACAAGUCAGGAGUGAAAGCCCAAGGCUCAACCUUGGAAUUGCUUUUGAAACUGUUUUACUUGAAUCCGGUAGAGGUUGGCGGAAUUCCGAGUGUAGAGGUGAAAUUCGCAGAUAUUCGGAGGAACACCAGUGGCGUAAGCGGCCAACUGGACCGGUUUUGACGCUGAGGCACGAAAGCAUGGGUAGCAAACAGG